rnacentral:rRNA from 1 species
CACGUAGGGCGCAAGCGUUGUCUGGAAUUAUUGGGCGUAAAGAGCUCGUAGGCGGUUUGUCGCGUCUGCUGUGAAAACUCGGGGCUUAACUCCGGGCCUGCAGUGGGUACGGGCAGACUAGAGUGCGGUAGGGGAGACUGGAAUUCCUGGUGUAGCGGUGAAAUGCGCAGAUAUCAGGAGGAACACCGGUGGCGAAGGCGGGUCUCUGGGCCGUAACUGACGCUGAGGAGCGAAAGCGUGGGGAGCGAACAGG